GAGUUUGAUCGUGAUUCAGGAUGAACGCUGGCGGCGUGCUUAACACAUGCAAGUCGAACGAUGAUCCCAGCUUGCUGGGGGAUUAGUGGCGAACGGGUGAGUAACACGUGAGUAACCUGCCCUUGACUCUGGGAUAAGCCUGGGAAACUGGGUCUAAUACCGGAUAUGACCUUCCAUCGCAUGGUGGUUGGUGGAAAGCUUUUGUGGUUUUGGAUGGACUCGCGGCCUAUCAGCUUGUUGGUGAGGUAAUGGCUUACCAAGGCGACGACGGGUAGCCGGCCUGAGAGGGUGACCGGCCACACUGGGACUGAGACACGGCCCAGACUCCUACGGGAGGCAGCAGUGGGGAAUAUUGCACAAUGGGCGCAAGCCUGAUGCAGCGACGCCGCGUGAGGGAGUGAC
rnacentral:rRNA from 1 species